rnacentral:rRNA from 1 species
UGGGGAAUAUUGCACAAUGGGGGAAACCCUGAUGCAGCGACGCCGCGUGAAAGAAGAAGUAUCUCGGUAUGUAAACUUCUAUCAGCAGGGAAGAUAGUGACGGUACCUGACUAAGAAGCCCCGGCUAACUACGUGCC